AUGGGGAAUGUGGAGCAACAUUUGGAAAAUGCAACGCCAACAACCUUGUUGCAUUAUCAGUUGAGUGAUAUGUGGAGGAGUCCUAGGGGUACAGUACUUCGUAUCGAGGGAUUAGCACUGGUGGGAAUUACGUGCUCCUUCUUCCUUGUUGCCUUUGGGUCCUGUCGCCGCUGGUCCAAUAGUUGGAUUAUCCAAAAGGGUUUCUUGGCUGCACAAGUGUUAUCUUUGUCCCUCGGGACUUAUAGCAUUGGCCUAAUGCAGUCUUCGUCGGUGAAGAGCGAGAUGUAUCCUAUAUGGGCUGUGUCCUUACUCACAUUGUUCGGCUGCGUCGACCCAAUCACCACCUACAUCGGCCUUGAAUACAAGGGCCCACUCUUGAAGAUUAUAUUUCAGCUUUGCCUCUACUGUGGAUAUGUCCUGCUGAUGAGUGUCUCAACCAUCUCCGGUGUUGUUGGUAAAUUAGCCAUUGGUGUGUUAUCUGCCAUCACCUUCAUCAAGGGCUUUCAUAUGUCAUUGGCGCUUGUCCAGCCAAGCAGGGCGCGGGACAAGUUAGCAGAGUUUCACGGUACAGCCCCCAUAAAAGUAGUAAGAAAGUUUAAUGGUACAGAAAUCGGUACUUUAGCAGGUGACAGUGGGGAACUUCAGGUCCAUUUACCAGUUUACCACUUAAUGCAGAUAAAAAAGAGACGUGGAAGGAAAGAGUAUAUUACUACUAGCAUGGCUGAUAUACAUUCAAGCUGCAAAGAAAUGAUGGGUAAUAAGCUACAGUUGAAAGAGGUCACUGCCAACGGCAUUGAAGACGUGUGCCUUGGCUACUCUUUGUCUCAUUUGUUACAACGGCGUUUCCUUGGGUUGGACACCCCUAGGGAAAUGGAGUUAAAAAUUGAGAAAUUUGAACAUUUUGCAGGGAUUGGUCGGGCCAUCGACUAUAAAAGGAUCUUGAACGCGAUUGAGGUUGAGUUGGCUUUUCUGUACGAGGUCUUUUUCACCAGCAAUGAGUUCCUUCACUACCAUGAAGCAAGAGACUGUAGUUUCUGGGCAUUCGCUUCAUUCGUUGGGAUAUGUUUUGUUGGGGUAGCGACUGCCAUUCCUGGGGCAAUGUCAAGCCACCACCAUAUUACAGGCUCUAAUAGUCCUGGUGCUAGCACUAUUGUUGUUAACACCAGAACAGCUGACCUCACCAUCACUCUUGUCAUAUUGGUGUCUCUGGCUCUGCUGCAAUUGGUGCAGUUGAUGCGGUGCUGGACGUCAAAUUGGGCGCUAGUUGCCUUUGCCUGCGAGUACGCCCGGGAAGAAAAUGAGUACGCCAUGAAGCAAUACAAGCAAGCAGCGGCAACCGCAGAUCCAGAAAGCUGGGGGCAAAUCAGCUCCAACUCUCAAGAGAAGCAAAUCAGCUGGUGGGUGAGAUUGAAAGCAUUCGUGGUUACCAGGAUGAAUUGGUUUGACAAGUACCUCUGGCAAGAUAAGCUCGGGCAAUAUUCAUUAGUUGAUGAGGCAACCAGCCGCAAGAGAAAAUGCGGACUAUGUACAUCGGAUGGCUUGCUUGCAGUACCCUGUGGUGACUUGGUUCUGUGGUUUUGCCGGGCAUGGCCUGGCUUGCGUCAGAUGUUUGGAUUGCAGUACAUUGGACAGGUGAUCCGGGAAUUGUGGGCCUGCGAUACCAGCACAACCGUCAGGCUGCACGACGAUGUGAAGGCAUCCAUCGCCGAUUUCCUGGGGAAGAUCAAGAGCAGAAGAAUAGGGGUGGAGUGGUCAUCCUUGUUUCACGGGCAAAAAAAUUACGGGAUCAACGUAUUGGCUGAGCUGCGUGGUGUUACCAAGUCGGACGCCUAUGCAUUCUCGCACCGUGUCAUGGUUUGGCAUAUCGCGACUUGCUGCUGCGAGGAAGUAGAGACGCAGGAAGGAAGCACCGGAGGAGGCGGCGGCGGCGGCAGUAGUGACGACACUAGAGAGAGGAAUCGGCGCGUGGCCAUGGCACUGUCCAGGUAUUGCGCCUAUCUGGUGGUGUCUGCGCCGGAGUUGCUCCCUGGGCCAUCCAUGGAAACAAAGCGCGCGCACAAGGACGUUAUGUUCAAUUUAACUCACUUCGGGUUUAAGUCACUACGGGGAGUGGUGCGACUGGAUCCAUUUCAAGGACGCUAUGUUCCACGUGAAGACGACGCCCUUGAGAUGGGUGUGUAUUGGGGCAUGCGGCUUCUCAACGAAUGUCCUCCGCCUCCGGGAUGCACGCCGCGCCGCCGCUCUGAUGACCAUUGGGAGAUGCUGGCCCUCCUAUGGGUCCAGACGUUGCUCUACGCCGCGCCGUAUGGCGACAUGCAGAGGCACAUGCAGCAUCUCUCGCAGGGUGGCGAGUUCAUCACCCAUCUCUGGGCCCUGCUCUACCACAUCGGGAUCGACAGGUGGGAUGGGGAACCAGCCCAAGCUGCCGCGGGGGAGACGAGGGAAGCUGCACAAGCCCAAGGAGAUACGAGCGAAGCAGAAAUUGAAGUCCUCAACUAG
rnacentral:rRNA from 1 species